UGGAUUAGGGUAUGGUUAGGGUUAGAAUUAGUGUUAGGGUUAGGGUUAUGUUUAGGGUUAGGUUUAGGUUAGGGUUAGGGUUAGGGUUAGGUUUAGGGUUAGUGUAGGGUUAUGGUUAGGGUUAGGGUUAGGGUUAGGGUUAGUGUUUGGGUUAGGUUUAGGGUAGGGUUAGGGUUAAGGUUAGUGUUGUAAACUAACAGAAAGCAACAGGUUAGGGUUAAGGUUACUUUUAGUUUUAGGUGUUGGGUUAGGGUAUGGGUUUUGGUUACGGUUAGGGCUAGGUUUAACUUUACGGUUAGCGUUAGGGUUAGUGUUAGGUUAAGGUUUAUGUUUAGGUUUAGGGUCAUGGUUAGGGUUAAGUUUAGGGUAGGGUUAGCGUUAAGUUUAGGGUUAGGGUUACGUUUAGGGUUAGGUGUUGGGUUAGGGUAUGUGUUAGUGUUAGGGUUAGGUUUAUGUUUAGGUUUAGGGUUAGUGUUAGGAGUAGGGUUAGGGUUAGGGAUAAGGGUUAGGGUUAGUGUUAGGGUUAGGUUUAAGGUAUUUGGGUUAGCAUUUAGUUUUAGGGUUAGGGGUUAUUUUAGGUCCAGUAUUAGGUUUAUAUAUACUAUAUAUACUAUAGGUGUAGUAUUAGGUUUUGUGUUGGGGUUAGGGUUAGGUCCUUGGUUAGGGUUAGUGUUUCUGUUAGGGUUAGGGUAAGGUUUAUGUUUUGGGUUAGGUCUUGGUUUAUUGUUAAGUGUACUGUUUAGGGUUAGGUUAAGGUUUAGGGUUAGGGUCCCAAUAAAUUUUCUGAUAGUUCUGCUAAAUCUUUGAGAAAUUUCUCCUGAAA
ensembl:lncRNA